rnacentral:rRNA from 1 species
UUGAUCCUGGCUCAGAAUCAACGCUGGCGGCGUGCCUCAGACAUGCAAGUCGAACGCGAAAGUCCCCUUCGGGGGAUGAGUAGAGUGGCGCACGGGUGAUUAACACGUAGGUAAUCUACCUUUGGGUGGGGAAUAACAGCCGGAAACGGUUGCUAAUACCGCAUAAUGCAGCGGCUCGACAUCGAGACAGUUGUUAAAGUGGGGGAAUCCUUCGGGAUCCUCGCGCCUGAAGAGGAGCCUGCGGCGGAUUAGCUAGUUGGUAGGGUAAUGGCCUACCAAGGCGACGAUCCGUAGCCGGCUUGAGAGGGCGGUCGGCCACACUGACACUGACAUACGGGUCAGACUCCUAUGGGAGGCAGCAGUCGGGAAUUUUGGGCAAUGGGCGAAAGCCUGACCCAGUAACGCCGCGUGAAGGAUGAAAUCCCUCGGGAUGUAAACUUCGUAAGAACUGGAAGAAUAAGUGGGGGACAAUACCCCCCAUGAUGACGGUACUGUUUGUUAGCUCCGGCUAACUCCGUGCCAGCAGCCGCGGUAAUAAGGU